UACGUAGGGUGCAAGCGUUAAUCGGAAUUACUGGGCGUAAAGCGUGCGCAGGCGGUUCGUUGUGUCGGCGGUGAAAGCCCCGGGCUCAACCUGGGAAUGGCCGUUGAAACUGGCGAACUGGAGUGUGGCAGAGGGGGGUGGAAUUCCGCGUGUAGCAGUGAAAUGCGUAGAGAUGUGGAGGAACACCGAUGGCGAAGGCAGCCCCCUGGGUCAAGAUUGACGCUCAUGCACGAAAGCGUGGGGGAGCAAACAGG
rnacentral:rRNA from 1 species